AAUUGGGAUUAGAUACCCCACUAUGCCUAGCCCUAAACAUUGACAGUAUUUUACACCCACUGUCCGCCCGGGUACUACGAGCAUUAGCUUAAAACCCAAAGGACUUGGCGGUGCUUUAGAUCCACCUAGAGGAGCCUGUUCUAGAACCGAUAACCCCCGUUUAACCUCACCCUUCCUUGUUUUUCCCGCCUAUAUACCACCGUCGUCAGCUUACCCUGUGAAGGCCCAAUAGUAAGCAAAAUUGGCACAGCCCAAAACGUCAGGUCGAGGUGUAGCGCAUGGAGGGGGAAGAAAUGGGCUACAUUCCCUAAUACAGUGAAUACGAACGAUACACUGAAAUACGUAUCUGAAGGAGGAUUUAGCAGUAAGCAGAAAAUAGAGUGUUCCGCUGAAAUUGGCCCUGAAGCGCGCACACACCGCCCGGUCACC
rnacentral:rRNA from 1 species